CUUAUGCUGGUAAAGAAUCUCUUCUAAAAGAUUAAACUUUUAGAGUAAGAGACAAAGGAAUUUGUGACAAGGAAAAAGAUUUUGUGCCCUUGCUUCACAGAGGUGCUGUUCGUGGUCUUCCUUGAGAGAGGUCCUCUUUGUUCACAGAGCCUCCGUCAUCGUGAGUGUGAGUGUGAGUGUGAGUGUUCCCAUCAGAGUGCUUUUUCGUUCAGUGCCAUCCGUCUCCGUCUUCGUUGGCGGACAGUGGUAAGUUUUUCCCCUAUUAAAAUGGGCCUUGCACGCUUCGGCCCAAUCCAUUCUUGGCUCAGAGAAUGCAAGUAAAGAAGCUUCUCGUCAGCGUACGUGGCAGACUUCAAUAAAGGGACAGACCAAGAGAGAGAAAAGAGCGAGGCGUUGUGUCUGGAGAUCGAGAGAGAAAGGCGAUCAGCACCGUCGAUCUCCGUCGUGCACGGCAGCGAUGAAGAAGAUGCAGAAGGGAAAAAUGACGGUGAUGAUGAGAAUGAUAUUUCCUAUCACAAGAGAGUGGAGCAGCCAUUGCUCUGCUGUCCGACCAGUCAAUUUGGUAUUGUUUAUUGGUUAAUUUUGUACCAACUUAGGUAUGAUUGUUUAUUUGGUUUUGUUGUCUAUUUGCAGAUAUUGUUUCCUUCCUUAGGGUCAUGUAUAAAAUUACAGACCACACUACCAACAUAGGCAGAUAGAAGAUCGGUAUAUACAACUUGCUACAUAGGAUACCUUAUAGAUAUCUUCCUUUCCUCAAGGCAAUUGCAUGAUUUCUGUAACUUUUUUCAAUUUUAUUUUCACGGGCAUCUACCUCUGGGUUAACACAUUAAGCUCUUAAUUAACUAUUUAAUAUCCUAAUUGUACUAACCAUACCAUUCCUCAUUCUUAUACGUACAUGUGAUUGUCCUAAAUUUUUAUAUACUUUCCUGAUUAGAAAAUAUUUUAUUUAAGAAAUUAAAUGAUAUCAAUAAACUAUUAAAACUAAAUUUAGUACCUCAAAGGUUUUGUCAACCGUGGCACUUUUCCCUUUCCUUCUUUGCCGCAUACUUCUGAUUUCAACUUCGGUGUCACCACACCGAGCAAGUCUGAGAUUUGAGAAUCUUCCAGAAGGCCGAGGAUGAGUUGGUCGACGUCCAGGUGCGUGUUGCGC